rnacentral:misc_RNA from 1 species
GGUGGACCUCAGCCUCUUCAAACUUAGUUGAAGGGAUGGUAAUUCCGUCGAACCAUCAGUAGCUAUUUCCUUUUCUUCUGAGUUAUUGGAGAGUCCACCAGGAGCCUCAGUAACUCUGAUUGUCUCUUGAGCGAUAGUACUAUUGGCAAUUAGACCUAUCAGAUCAGUAGCUUGGGUGCCUGAUUUAUCAGAUAAAUUGCUGCUUUCGAGUCCCAACAUACCCUUGUUAUUUGAAUCACUUUCCGGCAAUCUUUCCACGCUUUCACUUGUUAACUUGGUAGAAACCUUCUCAGUAGGAUAAG